UUAUUAUUUCUCUUCUGUUUUUGCCGAGAUUAAACAGUGAGGCCUGUUGGACACUUUGUGAAGUAAUUUCCUCUUCCCACCAACAAGAUACGACUUACAGUGUGGGGGGCUCCCUCCUCUUAGACUCCUCACUACUCAGAGCUGAGGCAUCACCAGGAUUCAAACUCAUGACCUCCUGAAGUUCACUGCUCUAAGUUCAGUUCAGAUCAUAGAUCAUCAUCUCCUGGAGCUGAAGCUGCAGACAUGAGCGUCUGUCCUCGUUCUCUCCUCCUGGCUCUGCUGGUCAUCCUCUACCUUCAGUCCUGUGCAGAGGGACAGAAUUACAAUUCACCAAAGAAAUGCUGUUUCAAUUUCUAUACCAGACCCAUCCAUAUCAGUGCCAUUAAAGACUAUGAAGAAACGAGACCUGACUGUAGAAGAGCUGGAGUGAUUUUUACCAUUAAGAAGAACAAUGCUAGGGUGUGUGUGGACCCCGGCUUUAGGUGGGUGAGGCGGGCCAUGGAAAAAAUUGAUGGUGAAAUUUUUUUUUGAAAUUUCUCCCUAAACUGGACUGUGUGGUUAAAUUCUCUCUACAUUAAUGGGAAAUUAGCUCAUGUUCUCUUUACACUGUAUUUUCUAUAAUAGUACAGCAGUUUCAUUUACUUUGAUUUGAUCAUCUCUGCUCAGACAAAGAAAAAAAUAUAAAGUAAAAUUUAGAAAUGAAAGAAAUUUAGAACAUAAAGAUUUAAUAUAUGAAUUGUUGUAAUUGUUCAAAUGUAUAAACCAUUUUUUAUGUUUUGUAUAAUUUGUUUUUUCUUUACAUAAUUUUAAAUAUAUAUUGAGAAAGCAUACAAAAUUUUGUAUUUUAUGAAAUUAUUACAUUUGUAACCUGUACUUGCACACGCACACACACACACACACACACACAUAUGCACACAAACAUAAUAAACAUUAAUUAACAAUUAACACAAUUUCAAAACUGUGCUGCAAAUACAAAAUCUGUGAAUUUUGUCCAUAUCAGAUACUAAAUUAUUGCACAAUAAUAUCUUAUUUGAAUGUUUGAAUUUGACAUUUUAACUGGGUUCUUAUAUUAUGCUUUAUAAUAAGUUUUUAAUCAAGUAGCUGCAUUCCAGUUAAGUUCACACAGCAGCUGAAUUCCUUAACACCUGUGCAUUAAAUCUGUCAUAAUUUAAACUGAA